UCCGUAGGUGAACCUGCGGAAGGAUCAUUACUGAAUUGUCAACACGAGUUGUUGCUGGUCCUCAAACGGGGACAUGUGCACGCUCUGUUCACACAUCCACUCACACCUGUGCACCCUCUGUAGUUCUAUGGCUUGGGGGACUCUGUCCGCCUGCCGUGGUUCUAUGUCUUUACACACACUCUGUAAUAAAGCCUCAUGGGAUGUAUGCCGCGUUUAACGCAAUACAAUACAACUUUCAGCAACGGAUCUCUUGGCUCUCGCAUCGAUGAAGAACGCAGCGAAAUGCGAUAAGUAAUGUGAAUUGCAGAAUUCAGUGAAUCAUCGAAUCUUUGAACGCACCUUGCGCCCUUUGGCUAUUCCGAAGGCAUNCCUGUUUGAGUAUCAUGAACACCUCAACUCUCAUGGUUUGCCAUGUUGAGCUUGGACCGUUGGGGGUUUUGCUGGCUUGCCGUCGGCUCCUCUCAAAUGAAUCAGCUUGCCAGUGUUUGGUGGCGUCACGGGUGUGAUAACUAUCUACGCUUGUGGUUUUCUGCCAUGUAGCCUUCAGUGAUGGAGGCUCGCUGGAGCUCAUAGAUGUCUCUCCUCAGCGAAGACAGUUUUUGUGAACGUUUGAUCUCAAAUCAGGUAGGACUACCCGCUGAACUUAAGCAUAUCAAUAAGCGGAGGA
rnacentral:rRNA from 1 species